GAUGAACGCUGGCGGCGUGCCUAAUACAUGCAAGUCGAGCGAACAGACGAGGAGUUUGCUUCGCUGACGUUAGCGGCGGACGGGUGAGUAACACGUGUAUAACCUACCGAGAAGACUGGGAUAACUUCGGGAAACCGGAUCUAAUACCCGAUAAUAUAUUGAACCGCAUGGUUCAAUAGUUAAAAAGGUAUUUGCUGUCACUUAGAGAUGGAACCGCGCUGCAUUAGCUAGUUGGUAAGGUAACGGCUUACCAAGGCAACGAUGCGUAGCCGACCUGAGAGGGGAAUCGGCCACACGGGAACUGAGAUACGGUCCAGACUCCUAGGGGAGGCAGCAGUAGGGAAACUUCAGAAAUGGGCGAAAGCCUGACGGAGCAAGGCCGCGUGAGUGAUAAGGGUCUGCGAAUCGAAAAACUCUGUUAUUAGGGAAGAACAAAUGUAUAAAAAACUAUGCACGUCUGGAGGGUACCUAAGCAGAAAGCCACGGUUAACUACGG
rnacentral:rRNA from 1 species